UAAUUUGAGGGCGAUCAUGCAGUUAAUCAAAGUACAUUCUCAAUCAAAUGCAAGACCUUUUUAGAUUAUUCACAAUAAAUUCAACCAAAGUACAUUCUCAAUCAAGUUUAUUGUGUUUAAUCAUGUCUAUUCUUAAAUCUCUUAACCAAAUUAAAAGUUAAUCAAUCAAAGUAAAUUCUCAAUUGAUUUUAGUUGAAAU
rnacentral:lncRNA from 1 species